UAUGUAGGGUGCGAGCGUUGUCCGGAAUUAUUGGGCGUAAAGAGCUUGUAGGCGGUUUGUCGCGUCUGCCGUGAAAAUUCGAGGCUCAACCUCGAACUUGCGGUGGGUACGGGCAGACUAGAGUGUGGUAGGGGAGACUGGAAUUCCUGGUGUAGCGGUGAAAUGCGCAGAUAUCAGGAGGAACACCGAUGGCGAAGGCAGGUCUCUGGGCCACUACUGACGCUGAGGAGCGAAAGCAUGGGGAGCGAACAGG
rnacentral:rRNA from 1 species